AUUAAAAGUACUGCUACAAGUGAAAGACGUAUUCCGUUGCUGUGUCGCAAAGGAGUGUGACUGUCGCAGCGCACCCAUAUAAAAACAGCAGCUGCGCGCUUUUCUGUCUUUCACAAGUGCGCCGUACUCUCAAAUCUCAGAUGGCCAUGCGGAAGGAACACUUGUGGAAAUACAUCUUAAGUCAAUAGAGUGCCUGGGGUUUGAAAAAUUAAAGGAACUUCACGCUUUUUAAUCUGCCUGCAACCUGGUAAUGACUCCAUAAAGGCCCUCUCAGCCCAAGUGGGGGUUUGUGGGCUGUUCAACCAAAUCUGCCUUGUCUUGUGGUGGUGGUCUCAGGCUGCAUGGUUGAACUGUGGGAUGUGGUGGCCUGAUCAAGUUUGUGAGGCUUUGACUAUGAGUUGACCGUGGAAUGGUCUUGAGAUUUGAGUGCGGUUAUCUGUGAUUUCAGAGCUGGUUUUCUUAACUGUAAUAAACAAGAUUUAUUGGUGAGUGUUGUUUUUGGAAGUUUGGUCAUAUACCAAGGCAGCCUGGAAGGUCUAUUCCUGGUUUGCUGUGGACAUGACCAGAAAGCAAUAAGUCAAGGGGACUUCUUGGCACUUUGUUAAGAAGGUCUCUUGGUACACAACCACUUUGUAAUCGUGAGCCAUAAAGUUUAGAAAAUGUAAUUUUGUUUUCUCUUGCAGACUGCUGUCUUAAAUUGUCAGCUGAUCACUUUUUUUUAAUAUAUUUUUUUAAAUAAACUUAUUGAACCAUUA